UCGGGACUCUCCGGAUGCAAUCCCACGGGGGAGGCAAAGUGAUGGACCCCUGCCUGGAUGUCCUCUAGCAAGUAUCCGGGACCGGCAUCAGGGCCGAGCAGGAUGAAGAAACUGAGGCUUGGAGAGGCUGAGCAGUUUGUGCAAGAUUGCAUUGUGGUCAGCAACGGAGCUGGAAGGUGACUCCAAAGUGGAGCUGUAAGAGGCAGGCAGUCUCCGAGAAAGAUGGUGGUCAGCCGUGGCAGGCUUUGAUCCAGUGCUCUCAGCACUUCCGCUGGAAAGACGUGCAUCUCACAGGCGUUCCAACAGAAACUUCAGGACUGAGUGGCACUGACGCUGAGUAACCUCGCCUGGGGCCAUCCACUGCAGGCUCAGGAUGGGUCAAUCACGUCCCAAGUGCCUUGCUUGUUGUAGCCCAUUGCAUUCUCCUGGACUCAGUGAGGUAAGUGUUCUUACUCGUUUUACAGAGGGGGAGAAAGAGGCUUAGAGAGAAUCAGGAAGGACCUUGCCCUUGAUCCGCCAGCUAGAACUGCAGCGCUGGGAUCUGUAGGCUCCAGAGGAGACCACACGCAGUCGCGGCGACAUGCUGCCCGCUGGCCUCAUCUCCCACGUGCCUGCCCAGUGCUAGUGCUCCUCGUGGCUGAAGACGAGGAGCUUUCACACAACGUGGGCCCUAAGCCCAGGGCCCCUAGUGAGCUGGGGCUCUGUGGACGAUGCCGUGUCUUGUCCAUCCCUGGGGGAAAACCUGGCUGUGCUGGACUCCA